rnacentral:rRNA from 1 species
UGGCCAAACUACCCUUCGGAGCACCAUACCCUCGGGAAACUGAGGCUAAUAGUGCAUCCCGCACUCACCCUGGAAUGGCGAGUGCGUCAAACGCUCCGGCGCCGAAGGAUGUGGCUGCGGCCGAUUAGGUAGACGGUGGGGUAACGGCCCACCGUGCCGAUAAUCGGUACGGGUCAUGAGAGUGAGAACCCGGAGACGGAAUCUGAGACAAGAUUCCGGGCCCUACGGGGCGCAGCAGGCGCGAAACCUUUACACUGCACGACAGUGCGAUAAGGGGAUCCCAAGUGCACAGGCAUAGAGCCUGUGCUUUUGUACACCCUAGGGAGGUGUCCGAAUAAGGGCUGGGCAAGACCGGUGCCAGCCGCCGCGGUAAUACCGGCAGCCCAAGUGAUGGCCGAUCUUAUUGGGCCUAAAGCGUCCGUAGCUGGCCGCGCAAGUCCAUCGGGAAAUCCACCCUGCUCAACGGGUGGACGUCCGGUGGAAACUGCACGGCUUGGGACCGGAAGGCGCGACGGGUACGUCCGGGGUAGGAGUGAAAUCCCGUAAUCCUGGACGGACCGCCGAUGGCGAAAGCACGUCGCGAGAACGGAUCCGACAGUGAGGGACGAAAGCUAGGGUCUCGAACCGGAUUAGAUACCCGGGUAGUCCUAGCCGUAAACAAUGCCUGCUAGGUGUGGCUCCCACUACGAGUGGGUGCUGUGCCGUAGGGAAGCCGCUAAGCAGGCCGCCUGGGAAGUACGUCCGCAAGGAUGAAACUUAAAGGAAUUGGCGGGGGAGCACUACAACCGGAGGAGCCUGCGGUUUAAUUGGACUCAACGCCGGACAUCUCACCAGCAUCGACUGUGGUAAUGACGGUCAGGUUGAUGACCUCGCCACGAGCCACAGAGAGGAGGUGCAUGGCCGCCGUCAGCUCGUACCGUGAGGCGUCCUGUUAAGUCAGGCAACGAGCGAGACCCGCAUCCGUACUUGCCAGCAACACUGCGAAGUGGUUGGGGACAGUACGGAGACUGCCGUGGCCAACACGGAGGAAGGAACGGGCAACGGUAGGUCAGUAUGCCCCGAAUGUGCUGGGCAACACGCGGGCUACAAUGGUCAGGACAAAGGGUUCCUACUCCGAAAGGAGACGGUAAUCUCAGAAACCUGAUCGUAGUUCGGAUUGUGGGCUGCAACUCGCCCACAUGAAGCUGGAUUCGGUAGUAAUCGCGUGUCACAAGCGCGCGGUGAAUACGUCCCUGCUCCUUGCACACACCGCCCGUCAAAGCA